rnacentral:rRNA from 1 species
UACGUAGGGAGCAAGCGUUGUCCGGAAUCAUUGGGCGUAAAGCGCGCGUAGGUGGCCCGAUAAGUCCGCUCUGAAAGUCACAGGCUCAACCUGUGAAAGCGGGUGGAUACUGUCGGGCUAGAGUCCGGAAGAGGCGAGUGGAAUUCCUGGUGUAGCGGUGGAAUGCGCAGAUAUCAGGAGGAACACCAACGGCGAAGGCAGCUCGCUGGGACGGUACUGACACUGAGGCGCGAAAGCGUGGGGAGCAAACAGG